GGCCUACAUCCACGGGCGAAGACGGAGCCGAAAUCUUCAUUAUAAUUAAAGUGGUAUACAAAAUAUGCCUCUGUCACAAAACCCUAAUCCCAAAAAUACACCCAUAUUCUCUCUCUCAUCUUCUGCACUAAAUCAAUGGAAUAAAGGGUAUAUUUAUAAUAGUGGCUAAAUCCUAAUACAACUAGGAAUACAAACCCACUAAGAUUAGGAAUAUCUCAAUAAAAUUAGGCAUAAUCUAAACUUAACUUAAUGGGAUAAUCAAAACAGAAUAGGGUUAGAAAAUCUUACGGUACUAGAAUUCGAGACAUAUUUAACAAUCUUCACUUUGGCUUGAAUUCUCUGUCUUUUCCAUCAAAAUCACAAAAGCUCCUGAAGUACUACUGCACAUGCGAACAAGUUUACAGAAUACUUGACCUUGAUCGGUGGAGGAGGGUCAGAGGGAAAAAAAUAAGGAGUCGAGACGCGGCCUCGGCGGGUCGAAGGUGAGGAAGACGGAGGGA
rnacentral:lncRNA from 1 species